rnacentral:rRNA from 1 species
ACUCCUACGGGAGGCAGCAGUGGGGAAUAUUGCACAAUGGGCGCAAGCCUGAUGCAGCAACGCCGCGUGAGGGAUGAAGGCCUUCGGGUUGUAAACCUCUUUUAGCAGGGAAGAAGCGAAAGUGACGGUACCUGCAGAAAAAGCACCGGCUAACUACGUGCCAGCAGCCGCGGUAAUACGUAGGGUGCAAGCGUUGUCCGGAAUUAUUGGGCGUAAAGAGCUCGUAGGCGGUUUGUCACGUCUGCUGUGAAAAUCCAAGGCUCAACCUUGGACUUGCAGUGGGUACGGGCAGGCUAGAGUGCGGUAGGGGAGAUGGGAAUUCCUGGUGUAGCGGUGGAAUGCGCAGAUAUCAGGAGGAACACCAAUGGCGAAGGCACAUCUCUGGGCCGUAACUGACGCUGAGGAGCGAAAGCGUGGGGAGCGAACAGGAUUAGAUACCCUGGUAGGUCAGU